AAUUCCAAGGUACAACUGUGUGUGUGUGUGUGUGUGUGUGUGUGUGUACACGCGCGCACACACACACACACACACACACAGUCGUACCUCAGUUUU